CACCGUUCAGGUGAGAGUGGCAUAUUUAGCCAACCGACCCUUUUUGGUCAAGUUAAGAUUUUUAAUUUGAAUUUUUUAGACAAAAUAAGUACGGGCCAUAAUUUCCCUUCAACUUCGCUAAUAAUUCGGCAAUUCAAGUCAGUCAGCGAGUUAUAUUUUUCUCUUCAAAAUUACUAGUUUCAUUGAAACGUAAAGUUAACGGCAACCGGAGGAAAAAUAUGAUAUCGGACUUGAAGCUCAUCCGCCAGCUACGGGAUUUCCUAAGUACAUCGGACCUCAACACGAUAAAAACCUCCAUCGUUGGGUGGAAACUGGAGGAAGAUUUUGGAAUUGACUUGUCCCACAAUCUGCGGAAGUGAAAUCGGAAGCAAGUUAUAUGGAGAAGAAGUAGGCUGUUUUAAUGUAUAUCAAACUUUUUGCAUGUCUGGUAAGAAGAAUGUAAGUGGCGAAAAGAGUGGUGGCGGAUUUAGCAAAGUAUGUAGCCUUUCUCCACAACUUCAGAAGUUUACUGGGAAGCAGAAUUAGCAAGUACAGAGGUAGUGAAGAAAUUGUGGAACUAUAUUCGCGAAAAUAAUUUGCAAGAUCCAGCAAAUAGACGGAUUAUAAACUGUGAUGGCAAAAUCUGUGAGCUUUUUAGUGUGGAUAAACUGGACAUUUUCCAAAUGAACAAAGCCCUAGCUAAACAUAUCUGGCCUUUGGAUUCUGAUGGUGGUAAUGGAAACUCUUCUCUUCUUAGGCCUUAAAAUUUAAUAUCCGCUUUUAGUGCUGACUUCUUGAUGUUAUUUAUAAUUCAUGCAUUUUGCUUGUCCAGUAUACUUAACUACGAAUUGAUUUCCAUAGUAACAGCUUUUGGCGUCUGGAAAUUCCGUAGAAAAGAAAAAGCGACAGAACAGGAAGAGGAUGAAGGCAAUAACUCCACGUAAAGUAUACUUGGACAAUGUUAUGUCUUUUGCAGUUCUGAAAUUUGUCUGCUUAUUAAUGCCUCGCCAAAACAAUUGCUAAGAACUCGCGCGCUUAAUCUCUUAGAUAUCCCCUGGUAGUGUUUGUAACGACAUUUCUUAAACCUGCUUUAUCUCAUUAUAGAUUCAGAUGAACCAAUGAGAAAGGAAAAGCGGCACAAUUCAGGAAUUCUUGCUUUCUCAUGCUCUGGUUAAGUUUCUUGGUACAGGAGAGACUGAAUUGCCACGGUCCAACGUUGUUAAGUAACUUGCAGGUAGUCGUCAAUUCUAGGUAUUGGUUCUGUUCUAUCUCCUUUGGAGCAAUCCCAUUUAUUCUCUCUCCUCUCUCUGAAUUCUGAAUUUUGAAAACUAACCUAAAGGACGACAUAGUGUGUCUAUGAUUGACAAUCUUAUACUUCUUGCUUUUGAAAGAUUUUCUUGAAAGCUUGGCAUCCUCGUAACGUGUCGAUCUUUCUGGUCCGAGCCGAAUUUCAUUCUGUUGGGCAAUCAGCAAUGCAUUAAUUCUUGAAUCCUGCUUGGUUUAGGCAGGUAAUUUUUGAGAGUUUUUUAAAGGUUCUCACUAGCAAUACAUUGCGACACAUAGGACUUCUACAUACAUACUGUGGCUCCGACUUACAUGACGCCAGUAUAUAAAUGUCCACUAUUAUUUGGUCAAAGGUUCUUAACUGCGAAAUAAUCAGUUUAUCCGAAAAAGUUUCCGGAGAAACCAUUGUUUUAAAUUCAAAAAGACUUUUCGAUCGGAAGUUGUAUUUUUAGGUCUACUCGAGGAGAACUGUAUUUUUUAAUUUAUUUCCCCCAGGGGAGGUGUUUAUCUUUUCCUGUAUUUUAUUUGGUAUGAGUGUAGGGGAAGUAAAAAGCCUUUUGCUUUAUGAUUUCUGUCCAAUUUUGUUUACUGCUGCUCGUCCUUUCUAAUCAACAAGGGAAUAAGUAAGCCUUGAUGACUUGAUCUUUACUUCAGCUCCUGCUGCUUUCCCGCACUACUCCAACAAAACGUAGUUUUCCUGCAAAAAUAUUUAAGGCCAUCUUUUAUCAUAAGACUAAGGUAGCAGGAGCUAAAUUAUAGUAUGGGUUGCUUCCCUUUGUUUAUCAAAGAUUGCGGGGGUUUUAAACUAGUAUUAAUUAUCUUUCAAACCCCCACAAAUUAAAAAUUCAUUUUGUGGCGGUUGUUAUAGAGGUUUUAAAAAUCCGCCGGAAUAAUGCUCGUGGCACAGGUAACUGCGGCACUCUAGAAACCGCCACAAUUCUUUUUGUGGGAGUCAAACCCCGUCACAAUUUGACCAAAAAACUCCCACAAAGUAACUGGUUUCUUGUAGUGUAAAGCAGGUUUAGAAAUCGCAAAAUUCUAAACAAUGAAACCGGACAUGCUUGCUUGCAUUCCCCCACAUUAAUUACUCUUGAUCAACCUCCUCAUUACCCCGUUAUCCUUGUUAAAAGCAGUUAAAUCUACUGGAAAAAAUAUUUUUCUGAAUCCACAUUCAGUGUAGACAUCUCGGUAGUUGCUUAUGUACUUUGUUUAUGCUUGGCUUGCAUUAGCUGUUUAUUCUAUGAGAAACUUUGUUGGUCAUUUGGAGUAUUAGGUACAUGAACAUACUGUUUUUCCCAGAGGCAAAAUGCAUUGUUUUAGACCGUGAAGUUCUCCUGGAUUGAGUUAUAGAUAGCUACAAAGCAGGUUAAAUGACGAAACAGUUCAUUUUCUUGCAUCCUAGUAUAGUUGAAUGAAGCAAAAACGGGCAGUCCGGUGCACUAAGCUUCCGUUAUGCGUGGGGUUCGGGGAAGGGUCGGACCACAAUAUCUAUU